GACGUAGGGCGCGAGCGUUGUCCGGAUUUAUUGGGCGUAAAGAGCUCGUAGGCGGCUUGUCGCGUCGACUGUGAAAACCCGUGGCUCAACCAUGUGGUCUGCAGUCGAUACGGGCAGGCUAGAAUUCGGUAGGGGAGACUGGAAUUCCUGGUGUAGCGGUGAAAUGCGCAGAUAUCAGGAAGAACACCCGUGGCGAAGGCGGUUCUCUGGGACGGUACUGACGCUGAGGAGCGAAAGCGUGGGGAGCGAACAGG
rnacentral:rRNA from 1 species